rnacentral:rRNA from 1 species
AUUGAACGCUGGCGGCAUGCCUUACACAUGCAAGUCGAACGGUAGAGGGGCAACCCUUGAGAGUGGCGAACGGGUGAGUAGCGUAUCGGGACAUGCCCGAUCGUGGGGGAUAACGUAGCGAAAGUUACGCUAAUACCGCAUACGAUCUGAGGAUGAAAGCGGGGGACCGAAGGGCCUCGCGCGAUCGGAGUGGCCGAUGUCAGAUUAGGUAGUUGGUGGGGUAAAGGCCUACCAAGCCGACGAUCUGUAGCUGGUCUGAGAGGACGACCAGCCACACUGGGACUGAGACACGGCCCAGACUCCUACGGGAGGCAGCAGUGGGGAAUUUUGGACAAUGGGCGCAAGCCUGAUCCAGCAAUGCCGCGUGCAGGAAGAAGGCCUUCGGGUUGUAAACUGCUUUUGUACGGAACGAAACGGCUCUGGUUAAUACCUGGGGCUAAUGACGGUACCGUAAGAAUAAGCACCGGCUAGCUACGUGCCAGCAGCCGCCGUAACAC